AGGAAGAAAGAAAGAAAGAAAGAAAGAAAGAAAGAAAGAAAGAAACAUCCCUCCUGCCCUGCCUGGUCACGCCCUCCAUCCCAGACCCAGGCAACCACCCAGAGGCUUUCUUUCCCUCUGGCUGACUUUGUCAUUUCCAGACUCCUAUAAAAAUAGAAUUGUACAAUAUGCACUCCCGCGUCUGCUUUUCUCCCUCAAUGCCAUGUUCUGAGGUCCAUCCUGCCAUAGUGUUAUCGCUGUCUGUCCUUUUUAUUGUUACAAUGACGUGUGGAUAUAUACCAGUUCUGUCCCUCUACCUGUUGAUGGGCACGUGGGCAGUUUCCAGCUUGGAGCCGUGAUGAGCGGUGCUGCUGGGAACAUUCAUGGGCAAGCCGUGUCUGGACAUAGCUUUCAUUUCUCUCGUGUAAACACCCAGAAGCGGAAUUAUUGUGCUGUCUGUCACUUUACAGGCAUUUCAGGAGAAAAAGCAUCUAGAGGUUGAAGAUUGGAAAUGUAACUAACAAUGUUUUAAAGAUGCCUUUGUGACAACCCUCCCUUCAUGUCCUUUGAUGUUUGUUGGAUCAAACUGGAAGGGAUGCAGGAGGUCGUGAAGCCAACUGUAGGUGACGCCCACAGCACCCAGGAGCUCUGCCCUGGCCUCCCGAUUUUCAGCCUGUGCAAAGAUGACUAAUUUAGCAAAUAUUUUUCAAAGACGGCUCGCAAGUUGGAAUGUAAAUUGAUAGGCGGCUUUUUAAAGCAAUUGGGAAAUACUUGCCGAGAGUAGAAAUGCCCGUGCUUCUGCGCAGGAGACCCACGUGUAGGAGCCGCUAAGAACACCGUGUGGAUGAACGUAUAUGCACAAGCAUGUCCUUUAGCAUCUGUAUCGCAAGAAAAAACUAGAACCAGGUGCCCGCCUUCUAGGAGAACCAUUCAGUCAACUCCGGUAUGCAGAUCAGAUAGAAUUUGAGGCCGCUUUCAGAAGUGAUUCUUUUUAUAAAUUCCAGCAAAUGAUGGACAGCAAACAAGGAUUACCCAUGAUACUCUGGGUGGUAGGGCUGGCUGGGAUUCUUGUUUCUUUCUAUUUAAAAAAAACAAAGUUUUGGGGGCGCCUGGGUGGCUCAGUUGGUUAAGCAUCGAACUU